GAUGUUAGAAUAUUUUCUCAACAAAUUAUUAUUCACCCUGUUUUACUGAACCUAUUAAAUUUUAUAAUUAGGUAUUUUUUAAUCAUUCGAUAAUGGCUCUUAAUGUAAUGUUUGUAGCCUUACUUUUCGUACCUAAGCACGACGAAACGCUGCACUCUGAGUGCUAACACUUACAAUGCAAACUGAAAAUUCGUAUCGUUUCCAAGCAUUUUCUGUGAUUUUAUUUGUUCUUAGUUGGUAGUUGAGAAUUAGUUGUAUACUUACGCCCCUGAACAUUCUUGUUUACUUGAUCAAAAUAAUAGUGUAGGGGAAAACCGGGAGACUUGCCCAGGUAGGAGAGUUGAACCACCUUUCAAAAUUGUAUUUGGAUUUAGUGCGAACGAAACGUCAAAACAUUCAUUGGUCGCACUCAAGAGGCCAAUCAUAAGUAUGCAGCCAUUUUGCAUCUUAGUGGUGUGGUUCGUCAGUGACAAUGUAAAACGUGUUUCUGUUGCUGCGGAGUAUAUUUUUUUGUUUUAAGUAGUUUUGUGAUUGCUGUCGUAUUUAUUGAGUGCCAACUUGUACGAUGCCUUUUCAAUACAAGCCUCCUGAAAAUGCUCGCAAACGAAAAAAACUUACAAAAAUGGAAUUGCAAAAUGCCAUAGAUGAAAUUAAGGGAGGCGCUUCUAUUCGACAAACUUGAAAAAUAAAUAUGGCAUUUUUGAAACAAUUUUACAAAAAAAAACCGGCCAAGUGCGAGUCGGACUCGCCCAUGAAGGGUUCCGUAACUAGCAAGUAGAUGCCAUAGUGUUUGUAUGAACGACAAUGUUAUAUUUGCGGUUUUUGAAAAUGUUUUAUUUCUUAAAAACUAAUAAUGAUAUCUCGUUCAAACCAAAUGGUUUUAGGAACCUUAAUGCCUUUUUUAAAGCCCUAUCCAUAGACACUCAUCACGGAUAGGUUAGCUGAAAAAUAUUUUUUUUUUGAAUCCGUUCCAUGUAUGGAGUGCCCUUUAAUAUUUAAAUUUAUUAAUUUUUAUUCAAAAUUCGGAUAGCGGUUAUCAAAAUACAUCAACCUACAGAGUUUCAACUAUGUAGGCCCAACAGUUUCGGAAAUAAAUGGCUGUGACAUACGGACGGACAGACAGACAGACAGACAGACAUGACGAAUCUAUAAGGGUUCCGUUUUUUGCCAUUUGGCUACGGAACCCUGAAGAAUGUUAUGUUAAUUACAUUUUCUUUGAUAGCAGUAUUACAAACAAGUUAAUUACUGUAUAAGAUAAGAUAUUAAAACUAUGAUUGAAGCCGAAAAUGAUUUUUAUUUUCCACAAAAACAAUAUGGUCAACUCUCCCCAUACCUCGGUUCAAGUGUCCCUGUUGGUAGGGAGACUUGACUCAUUUUUCAUUUAGUAAAAUGCCAAUAAAAUGUUACUAGCGCAUUUAUUAGCAAUAUAAUUAAGCACAAAUAUACCUACUAAAGCAAGGCAUCACAUAAGUGUAUAAUCGAUUCUCUAAACCCAAUAAACAAAUACUUAUGGUAUUUUAUAUUAAAAGUGGUUCAACUCUCCCGGACUUCCCCUAAUUAUCUUCUAAUAUUGAUAAAUCGUUCCUAAUUACUUUAUUGUUAUUGUGUUUCGAUCAAGAUCUAGAUUGUUAAUCUUUUAUUUUACGCGCGUGUAAGAUAAAUAUUAGUAGACAGAUAUCAUUGAACGAUGGUUUUUACAUUAUUGUUACCGGGCUAUAAAUCCUAAUUGAUGUAAACUUGGCACGUAUUUGAUAAAAGUGAUUCGAAGUAUUAGAUAUGAAGGUAGGUGCAUAGUCCAUACCAUAGUAUAAAUUUUCUUAGAAACUAAUAAAUUACUGUAAAUUAUAUUUUCAAAUGAA